UUCCAGACUCCUACGGGAGGCAGCAGUCGGGAAUAUUGCGCAAUGGAGGAAACUCUGACGCAGUGACGCCGCGUAUAGGAAGAAGGUUUUCGGAUUGUAAACUAUUGUCGUUAGGGAAGAAAAAAGACAGUACCUAAGGAGGAAGCUCCGGCUAACUACGUGCCAGCAGCCGCGGUAAUACGUAGGGAGCAAGCGUUAUCCGGAAUUAUUGGGUGUAAAGGGUGCGUAGACGGGAGUCUAAGUUAGUUGUGAAAUCCCUCGGCUCAACUGAGGAACUGCAACUAAAACUGGACAUCUUGAGUGCAGGAGAGGAAAGUGGAAUUCCUAGUGUAGCGGUGAAAUGCGUAGAUAUUAGGAGGAACACCAGCGGCGAAGGCGACUUUCUGGACUGUAACUGACGUUGAGGCACGAAAGUGUGGGGAGCAAACAGGAUUAGAUACCCUCGUA
rnacentral:rRNA from 1 species